CAACUUGGAACAGUUGGUGACUUGGUGUCUUCUCCCAUCUAAAACUCCAGAAACCAGACGUUAGACGUCAUCCCUCCUCCCUUGGCCGACUUGAUAAGUUUUGAAUCCUUCGGAUAACAUCAGCUUGUGAUAAAGAUGACAUUUAGGAUGAAGCUUGGUUCCUCUAUUUCACUUUGGAGAAGGAGUCUGGACUCCGAGUUCUGUAUAAAUAGGAGUACCCAUUACUUGUUUCUGCAUUCUCCAUCAAGAACGUACAUUGGGCCUCUCGAGUUGAACUGGAUGUGGCUUCUCCUCGAGACAUAAUUUUGAAGCAGAGCAUUGCAGGCGGUGUUCGAACCAUUGCUUUACAGAGGUGGAGUAAUUUAUUCCUUUGGUGCUGCAUAAAGAUUCCUCCAGAGCAGUUUCUUCACUUUGUGAGCCCAAGAACUUUGCAGAUUUGUCCUUGGCGUGAACCAACAGCCCGAGGCUUUCACUUGACACUCAUCUUUGCCACCCAUAUGCAGGACGCACCGCAAUACAGGCAUCAAAGACAAGUGUAGCGAAACUCGGGAACUUCGUAGAGCCGUACUUGGUGUGAACUGGCAGCCCCCCGGGCAUUCACUUGACACUCAUCUUUGCCACCCAUAUGCAGGACGCACCGCGAUACAGGCAUCAAAAACAAGUGUAGUGAACCCCUCUGUUUCUCUUCUUUUGCCAUCAGAAAGUUGUCGAAAUCCCUUCUCUUUGCACGUGCUUCUUUCAUUCUCUGAACCUGCACUUGUCGUCAACAUAGAAGGUAUUUCGAAAAUGUUUUCUGGUUGUUGUUUUAUGUCUUUCUGAUUUCUGGUGGGCAGCAGUAGAGUUUUGGGGUUUUGUGGCUUUUUGGUUGGUGUAUUUGGCUUUGGGGAUUUCAAGGCUUCUUAGCACGGAGGAUUUGUUAUCGGUGCUAUUUUGGAAGGGUUAUAAAACCCCUGUGGAAAUAAACAGAGGAAGGACUUUCUGCACUCAUGAACCCAUCAGCAACAAUACAGGAAAAGUACCAAUAAAAGACCAUGGAGAAAUGACCAGCAGGAUACCUGAACUUGAUGCUCUCCUGUCGUCGGGUUGUAGUCUCCAGCCUUGUGUUUCUUAUAUAGGGGGCAGUGAAGAUUCUAGAGGGCGGGAUAAACAUUUGUUUGAAAUUUGAAUCUCCCGAAGAUCACGAAGAUAAGCUGUUGAUCGGAGACUUCGUCUUUGACUUUGAGAUUGAACUUGGACGCCCUCUGCCACUUUGUUCUUAUCACAAUUUGAAUGCUUUCUUCUGUUUCUUUUUUUUCGUAGCUUAUCCCCACCCAAGCUUGGUCAACCUUUGAAUUUGAGAAACAGAUAAUUUGUAAAUAAAUAUUUGUUUAACUGCUGUCAUUAUCCUCUUCUCCUUUUUUUUUUGAAUAAUUGUGACAGCUACAUGCUUUGUA